CCAUAAUCACCGAUGCGAUAUUCUGUCCGAUCGAUUCGGGAACCAACUAACGAAUGCCAAGGUGCUGUCUAAACAAGACUGUACUUUGUGAAUUUCGUUAAGGUUCUAAAACGAAUGCCAAAGUGAUGUCUAAAUAAGACUAUACUUUGUGAAUUUCGUUAAGGUUCUGAUCUCGUGACCAUCGUUAGGUUUGAUUGGGUUUAACACUAAUACGUAUUCCACUCUGUUAAACUAAAUGUUUAACUAUCAGAAAACUCCAAACUAUACACCUACAAUCAAACAAGAUGUUUAAUCAUCAGAAUAUUCAGAACUUUAAAGUAGAUGCUUAGUUAUCAGAAGGCAUAGAAUCAGGAGGUUUGUUUAACCAAAGACUAUAUGCUAACAAGGUGAUUACAUUAGAUUGGAAUAAGAGUUGUGAUACGGCACCAAAAAGGCUUAAAGAAGUGGCUUAUUUUAUCAAUUAAACUAAAUCAAGAAAUGUUGUUCGGGUUUAUCCCAUACUAAAGCUACCUUUGUAAAACAUGGGUUUAUUCCCGUCUGUUUAAUAAAUAAAAUCCGGUGUUUCAAAACUCUGAUAUUUUUACUAACUCACGGUCCUGAUGAAAUUUUCCGCUGCAAUAUUUUCAAAAUAACCACCGGUACCACUUAACUGCUCGCGGCUCCCAUCCAAGGUGUGGUCAGGGGCCGUGACAGAAAAUCUCGUCGCAAUGAUAUCCCACUAGAAACAACUGCCAGGCGAAAUCUCAUUUGUAAUUUUAUCUUCACUGUACCUAAAGGAUUUACCAAGGGAUAGCUCGUUGACAACGCUUCCCAUUUGGCAACCUACCAAAAAGCCUGGUGGAAGUCUCAUCCAAUAUAUCUUAUCUUCAAAUAAUCAGCAGAUUAAGAGGAUAGUGCGCUAUUAAAUAGUUAUCGCAGAUGACGACUAAGUUUGAAUUGGCACAUGUUGCUGACCCGUCGAUGAUACUCCUUUUUCACAGAAUGUUUUCAAAAUUAUAAUGUAUUAUUUUGCAAAAAAAAAUACAAAAAGUAUAUAUGUAAUGUAAUUUAUAAAGUACAAAAAUAAAAAUAAAAAUAAAAAUAAAACAAGAAUUGAAAAGACCAGCACCAAGGUACAGGUUGAUGACAGAGAUUUACAAGGAUUGCCCCUAUAUCUGGGUCCGAUGACAAUGCUGAACAAAUUCGUGUGCCUGUAAACUCUAACUGUGCCGAUCGUAAAAAUUUGAUCUCCACUGAUAAACCUGAAUCUUUGAUGAUCAAGAACCCUACAUCCUCGGCGAUGGUCUCUCCUCAGGGUAGAUAGUUUUUAUUGUAU